CACUUAUAUAAUUUUGAUUGUUGCUCAGAAAGCCCUCAUUACUUUAUCAGUUGGCUUUCGAGCAAUAAUUGAAACCAAAUAAGUG
rnacentral:pre_miRNA from 1 species